CCCUUAGAUGUCCUGGGCCGCACGCGCGUUACACUGAUGCAUUCAACGAGCUUAUAACCUUGGCCGAGAGGACUGGGCAAUCUUGUUAACGUGCAUCGUGAUAGGGAUAGAUUAUUGAAAUUAUUAAUCUUGAACGAGGAAUUCCUAGUAAACGCAGAUCAUCAAUCUGCAUUGAUUACGUCCCUGCCCUUUGUACACACCGCCCGUCGCACCUACCGAUUGGAUGGUCCGGUGAAGCCUCGGGAUUGUGGUUCUUGCCGCUUUAUUGUGGCGUGACCGCGAGAACUUGUCUAAACCUUAUCAUCUAGAGGAAGGUGAAGUCGUAACA
rnacentral:rRNA from 1 species